AGGCCCUUCAUGAUUUAACUGCAGCCAAAUUUGCAGGCUCCCCGGUGUUCCAGCAUGACCGUGACCAGGACGAUGCCCACCACCUUGUAUCCUUCCGCCAACACGGGCUGUGACCCAGGGCUGCGUUUUCUUUACCCGCCCGAGGCCCUCUGCCGGGAGCCUGCCUCGGCUCCAUCCUGGUCUCCCAGGCACCAGCGUCCCGCGCAAGUGAAGUUCGCGGCUCCCUUCUGUGUUUCCAUGCUUGAUGUUCAUCCCUUUACCGGGACAUUUAGCAAGAUUUAUGUGUUCUUCUGUGUGCAGAAUGUGGCAGGCUGCUGAUUUCCUACAGGAUCCAUUCCCCCUCCUGUUUUUAAAGUACUACACGGGCGCCUGGGUGGCUCAGUCGUUAGGCGUCUGCUUUCGGCUCAGGUCGUGGUUCCAGGGUCCUGAGAUCGAGCCCCGCGUCGGGCUCCCUGCUCUACAGGGAGUCUCCUUCUCCCUCUCCCACUCCCCCUGCUUGUGUUCCCUCUCUCGCUGUGUCUCUCUCUGUCAAAUAAAUAAAUAAAAUCUUAAAAAAAAAAAGAGUGAAAUACAUUUCUAGCUUCUGUUCUGGUGUUACUUUGUUUCAGAAGUUAUGUCUGUACAUUCUAGAGUAUAGGAUCCCUCAGUGAAUUAGGAAUUGGGAUACGAGCUUCUUGCCACCAGCUGGGCCGCCACACGAGCAGUAUGUCACUGAGCAAGGUCUUGUGCCUUGAUUUACUCUUCUCCAAAAAGAGGGUCUUUCAGCACCAUGAGGUAAUGACUAUCACUUACAUGUUUGGCAUAAGGCUUUACUCUUAUCACAGAGUAGUUUUUCUCUUAAAAGAAAUGUCUCAUGGGGCACCUGGGUGGCUCAGUCGGUUAAGCAUCUGCCUUCAUCUCGAGUCGUGAUCCCAGGGUCGAGCCCCGCGUCGGGCUCCCUGCUCAGCAAGCAGCCUGCUUCUCGCUCUCGCUCGGCCUGCUGUUCCCCACGCUUGUGCUUUCUCCCUCUGAGCACAAAAUAACAUCUUAAAAAAAAAAGAGAGAGAGAGAGAGAAAGAAAUAUUUCAGGCUCCAGGGAUGGGAGACGGCGAUAGGCUUGGGACUAAGCCAUCGAG
rnacentral:lncRNA from 1 species